rnacentral:rRNA from 1 species
GACGAACGCUGGCGGCGUGCUUAACACAUGCAAGUCGAGCGAUGAUGCCAGCUUGCUGGUGGAUUAGUGGCGAACGGGUGAGUAACACGUGAGCAACCUGCCCCUGACUUCGGGAUAACCGCGGGAAACCGUGGCUAAUACCGGAUAUGACGCGCUAUCGCAUGGUGGUGUGUGGAAAGAUUUAUCGGUUGGGGAUGGGCUCGCGGCCUAUCAGCUUGUUGGUGGGGUGAUGGCCUACCAAGGCGACGACGGGUAGCCGGCCUGAGAGGGUGACCGGCCACACUGGGACUGAGACACGGCCCAGACUCCUACGGGAGGCAGCAGUGGGGAAUAUUGCACAAUGGGCGCAAGCCUGAUGCAGCGACGCCGCGUGAGGGAUGACGGCCUUCGGGUUGUAAACCUCUUUCAGCAGGGAAGAAGGCCUUCGGGUUGACGGUACCUGCAGAAGAAGCGCCGGCUAACUACGUG